CCCAUGGAUGCACCAUCUACCCCUCGCUAUUCCUCUGUGCAUUCCAAGUAUGACUGAUUUCUUGUCUUGGAGUAAAGAGAAGAAAGGGGUCUUCAAUGUUGGGUCUUCCUACAUGAUGCUACUCCAAGCAGAGUUUGGUAGCGAUAUAUUGUUAGAGAUAUAUUUAGUAUACAUAUAUCUCCAAGCAGUACUUCAAACAGAGUUUAGGAUAGGAGGCUAGCUUGAGGAAAUUUCAGGAUCCUCAAGCAAUGGUAUUCCUUCUUUUCUAAAAAAGAAAACUUUGUGGCUUUCUCACUAUGGCCAACAUGGUCUGCUAGGAGAUAAGCUAUCCACGAAUCGGAAUUUCAAUCUCCACUCUCGACUCACUUGUUC
rnacentral:lncRNA from 1 species